GACGGCAUGGGAUUCAACGGCAU
rnacentral:siRNA from 1 species